ACUGGAUUGUCUGGCAUCGGGGCAGGAACUCUGGGGUGGCUUUCUCCCAGAUGGAGGUACUCAGAGGAAUCAUUGUUCCUAUGCUGGGACCUUCCC